AACUAUGGCAAGUGAAUUUUUGCAUUGAUGGCAUUUUAAAAUUUGAUGCUAGUUUCUAUAUAGGUGGCAAAAUGUCAAGAGAGGCUUCCAACAUGUUUGACAUCUGCUUCUCCCUUCCCCACCCGGGGUCCUGCCACUGCCAGCAUCACAUCUGUAGCUGAUGAGCAGAGCAUAUCUCCACAGGGGCUGAUGAGAUGCUUCAGCAGGUAAAGUCACUGGCCACCAGAUAACUUGAAUUUGAUCUCUGGGAUGCACAUGGUAGAAGGAGACGACUAACUCUUGCAAGUUAUCCUGGGACCUCCACACAUGUGCCAAGGUCCUGCCUCUAUGUUCCUGCCCUGUUUGAGUUCCUGUCCUGGCUUCCUUCAAUGAUGGACUACAGUGUGGAAGUACUGCUUCAUUGCACACCAGUUCUUCUCCCAUGCCUUGCUAUAAAUGCUACAGAGAAUUUAGGCAGAAUCCUUCCUCCAUUUCCUGCAGUCUGUACCCAGAAAAAAUCAUUAUAACACAGGUUCUCUGCUCUUCUGAAGUCGUGGAUCACAUUCCCUUC